rfam:Myroides profundi strain D25, complete genome.
GCCGGUGUAGCUCAGCUGGCUAGAGCAGCUGAUUUGUAAUCAGCAGGUCGUGGGUUCGAGUCCCUCCAUCGGCU